rnacentral:sRNA from 1 species
GUAUGGUUAAGUAGCUCUCUCUCUCCCUCCCGCGUAUCAUGUCUCUUGCACUGUAUCAAAAACAGAGCAUAAACACAUAAACGCACAAAAAUAAAAAUCAAACACACAUAACUAUUUUAAAGUCACCCAAACACAAACGAAAUUCACACAAAUAAAAAACAUAGCACACAACGUCCAAACGCAACUUAAAGAAACAGAAAACAGAACAUAAAUCCACGAAAAACCACACUCGAACAUACACACAACAAAAUCACACACACAAAACGAAAUUCAAACGCACAAACAAAAAACAUAGCACACAACGUCCAGACGCAACUUCUAAAAACAGAAAACAAACUUUCACAGGAUUGUUUUUAACAAAAAAAUGUGAAUAAUCACAAUUGAUGACAAGAAAUUGUGUUGUGAUUGUUCCCUUAUUUCUUACUUUCUUAUCUACUUACUUUAUUAUAGCUUGUAUUAACUUAUAUAUUUGAAAGCACACGAGCAUUGUUUGCAGUUUAAAACAGGUUUUCUGAAGUAAGAGCAAAAGUUUCGAAUGCGCUUCAAUAUACUCAUGACUGACAAAGUAAUCUUGUUAAAAAAAUUUCAUCACUUUAAACUCUUUCCUACUAGAACCAGUGCGAGUUUAUGUAAAACCACUUUAAUAUAUUCAGGAGUUCAUCAUUAACUUAUUCAGGAGUUUCAGUUAUAAUCUCAGAAGAUAGCUCCGACCGGGUAUCAAAACUAGAGAAAAAGGUUAGUGCUUUAUAGCAUUGUGUGUUUUCUCAUAUUUCAGUUGUGUGGUUCUGUCUGUUUGAUGUAGUUAUUGUUCCUUAUUUUGUGUAUGAUAUCCUUUUAAUUGGCUUAAUUGAUGUGUAACUUGCUGGAAAAUUUUGUGUGAGUCUGCGGAUGUAGGAGUUGAUAAAGAGACUUGAAUAAGGUAAGCUUUCGUGAUGAAUUGGUAAAUCAUUUUCUAGAUUCUGAACCUUGACUUAUACUGAAACUCACGCCAUAAAAAGCACAAAUUCAACGUAUUAAGUGAAUAAGGUUUGAACUAAUAAUCCUUGAACAAUGGCUGGUGGAGUUGCACUGAGAGGUAAGAUAAUAUGAGCCGAGGAAACAACCAAAUGACGACAGGGAGGAUUCUGAUUUCAAGAUGAAGGAUUGCUUCCUCGGCUGCAAAGACGGUUUGACGACCACCAUUUAAUACAAGGUUUGAACUGGUGAUCUUUUCUCUCCAAGACUAUUCCCUUGGGAAGAAUGAAUCUUAGUUCAAGUGGGUUACAAGGACCAAUAGCCUUUUCCUUUAGAGAUCUCUCCCUCCUCGAGUUAUCGUAAGUGUACAAAUGCAAGCCAUACAAACACACACUUUCCAAGAGCUUUCUUCAGUUGAAAUGGAACUUAUUGACAAACGGUUUGAAGAUGAAGGAUUGUUUGGCUGCAAAGAAAAUCAUUCAGUAGCCAACAAAGAAAUAACUUUGUGUGAAUCUGCUGAUGUAUCUAUUAAGGAGUUGAUAAAGAGACUUAAUGAAGGCCCAAAGUCUUGGCGUUGAGAACUUGAUGAUGAUAGAUAUUAUAAACUUGCAAAUAUUUGCAUUAUAUAUUCAGAAAACGAGAAGCAGAAUCUCGCUUCGUUUUUUUCCUAUCUUGCUUUCCAUUAGUUUCUAAAAGUGCUUUCAGUCCAAUGUCUUGGCGUUGAGAACUCGAUGAUGCGAAAAAAGAGAAGCAUGUAUUUAUCAUUUCUAUCUGUUCACACCAUCGAAAGGAUAAAACCAAUGUAUAAAGUCAAUAAGGUUUGGACUGGUGAUCCUUGCUCUCCAAGACUAUUCUUUUGAAAGGAAUUCUACUGAUGAGCUUAGUUCAAGUGGAUUACAAGGACCAAUAGCUGUCUCAUUUAGAAAUCUCUCCCUUUUUGAGUCAUUGUAAGUAUACAAAUUCAAGCCAUACACACACACUACCAACCUCUUUCUUCACAUUAUAUAUAAGAGUCAUGUGCAUUGUUUUCCCAGGGAUUCAUAAAACAACAACCUAAGAAAGGGAUUUCUUUUGACAGACAUUUGAUAAUGUAUUUGUCUCUGACAUUUAUUUGUGUCACAUGAAUUUGAAAGGAAAUUACUUGACUGGGUUUGCCCCAAGAUCUCAUAGGAAAAAAACAAUGGCUAGUGAACUUGCACAGAGAGUGUAUUUAAGUUGAGAGAUGACACAUGUAACAAGGACAGAUGCCACACGUAACUCUUGAAUAAGAGAAUCCCUUAUAAUAAUAAGGUUAGUACAAAUAUUUUUUGGACCCAACUGUCGACACAUUAGAUACAGAUACUAAUUAUAGUUUUCUUGCCACUACACUUUACAAGGAGAAAGUGGAGAGC